rnacentral:rRNA from 1 species
UUUUAGGUCUGGCCUGCUCAAUGAUUAAUUAAAUAGCCGCAGUAUUUUGACUGUGCGAAGGUAGCAUAAUCAUUAGUUUUUUAAUUGAAAGCUGGAAUGAAUGGUUGGAUGAGAAAAUUACUGUCUCUUUUUUAUUUUAGUAGAAUUUUAUUUUUAAGUUAAAAAGCUUAAAUUUUUUAAAGGGACGAGAAGACCCUAUAGAGUUUAAUAUUUUUCAAUUUUGUGAGAAAAUGGUUGAUAUUCUUGCUUUUUUUUAUAAUAUUUUGUUGGGGUGACGUAAAAAUUAGGUUAACUUUUUAUUUUUAUAUCAUUGAUUUAUGAAUGGAUGAUCUUAUAUUAGGGAUUAUAAGAAUAAAUUACCUUAGGGAUAACAGCGUUAUUCUCUUGGAGAGUUCUUAUCGAUUAGGGAGAUUGCGACCUCGAUGUUGGAUUAAAGUUAAUUCUUGAUGAAGAAGUUAAGAAAUUGAGUCUGUUCGACUUUUGAAACUUUACA